UGGGCUUGAUUUACUGAAAGAUGAAAGAAUAAUUAUCGUAUUACUGGAUUUAAAUAUAAUAAAAGAGCGGGUUGUUACAUCUCUCUUUCACAGUCUGGCACUUCACUGGUACAAGGCAACAACUAAUUUAAAUUUUGAAUAGGUGUGGAACUAUCUAAAUUUGAAUCUUUUGUCAAAUGUACCUCUUCCCCCGACGUUUACUUCCUUCUAGUUUAUCUGCCAGAGCUAAUGCAUUCUGAGUUGAUUUUGGGGGUUCCUCAACAAAAUCUUUGAAUAAAACACAACUAACAACUAAUUAGUCAGAAAUUCGCAUAUAUAUAAAAAAAACAUUUGCAAGAAUUAUUCAUUAAAAAUAAGAUAGUACAUAAUAUUAGUCAUCUGAAAUCAUGUAAUAAAAAAUUAUACUUCAAUUAAUAUUCAAAUAGGUCAACGUAAUAUAUAGUUGUAGAGCAAAUAAUUCACAAAUUUGAGUGCAGAUAGGUAGCAAUACCCCAGUCUAUAAUUAAAUUUGCAGAACACAUUAUUUCGAAUAAACAAAAAAAUAUUUAGAAUAUGAAUACAUAAAUUGUUGAAUGCAAUUACGUGAAUAAUUCAGACCAUGUGUAAAUUUGCAGCACAUAUAACUUUGAAUAAACAAAUAAAUGUUUAGAAUAAGUUUACACAAAUUGGUGAACGUAAAUACGUUAAUAAUUCAAAACAUGUGUAAAUUUGAAGCACAAAUUUUCUCGAAUAAACAAACAAACAUUUAGAAUACCAAUAUAUGUAAUGUUGACCUUAAAUAGGUGAAUAAUUCAGACCAGGAAUAAAUUUCGAACAUAUAUUAAUUCGAAUAAACAAAUAAAUAUUUAGAAUAUGAAGACACAAAUAAUUGAACGCAAGUAUUCAUUACCCUCGUCACUACUAUUGUUCGAUUGUUCCACAUUUUCCCCCUGUAUUUCGUCAUUUGAUGAUGAACAACCUGUGCAUCACAAAUUUUCGGAAAUCAGAACAAAAAGAUUAAAAUUUGGUUUAAAAAUUUUAAAUCAAUGAAUACAUAUCAAUUUGACCCAAUUAAAAACAAUUAUUUGGGGACCCGGGAACUAAUUCCAGCAUAACAUUAAAAACAAACAAAAAUUCCAGAUCUGCAAAUUUUACAUGGACCUUUGAACAGCAUACUACAACACCAAAAAGGGGGGAAAAGCCAGAUCGGCAAAGUGUUACUUUAAAAACGAGAAAAAACAUCACUUAUAUUAUUCGAACAGAUUUUAUAUCGAAAGCUGUUUGAAUCUUUGUUAAAAGUUUAAAAACUUACCACUGUCGCCUCUCUUCAAUUUAGAAACCGAGGGUCUUCAAUGGAUGUUUCGAUUUGCAGGAAUCAUGAAAACCCUAGUGUUUUAGAAUAAUGAACGGAAGGUGGAGCGUGUAAUUCGGGGGGAGAGAUUUGGGAAGAUCGUGUGUUUUGUGUAAAAGACUGAAU
rnacentral:lncRNA from 1 species